GCGGGCGGGCGGCUGCUCGGGUCCGGGUCCAGCUCUCGGCCUUGGGGGAAGACGCAGGCCGGGAGCUGCACUGCAGUCCGCAGCCCCGGGAGGGUGGGGGGUGGUUUAGUCUCUGACUUCCUGCUCCCACUGGGUGGAGGCUGCCCCUUUCCGAGAGGGGAACCGCGGCCGUCGCAGCCAGGGUGUAGCGUUCUCUGGUCUUGGGCCGUGCGGGGCACCUCCAGCGUCCGUGUGAUGUCAGCCCCGAAACCCCGAAACCCACGCACGCUGCCCACUCUUAGCCGCGGGGUCCCUGUGGAGGCCACCCUGUGUCUUGACUUGCCGGACCCAUCUGUGAGGAUCGUAAAUACGAAAUGCAUGGAAAGUGGAAAGUAUGACCUACCAGGUGCAAAAACGCUGAGCACAGUUGGGGCCCGGCGGUGCCAACAGGCCCCGGGCCGCCGCUGCGCAGUGUGUCUCACGUGUAGGUGGAGAGCAGUGGCAGAUAAAGAUAGAGAAAAUGAAAAAGAGAAAAAGUCAGUGAUCUGUGUUGAGGGCAAUAUUGCAAGCGGGAAGACGACGUGCCUGGAGUUCUUCUCCAACACAACAGACAUUGAGGUGUUACAGGAACCGGUGCCCAAGUGGAGAAAUGUCCGUGGCCAUAGCCUUCUGGGUCUGAUGUACCGUGAUGCCUGUCGCUGGGGCCUCACACUGCAGACAUACGUGCAGCUCACCAUGCUGGACCACCAUACUCGUCCUCAGACAUCACCUGUACGGUUGAUGGAGCGGUCGAUUCACAGCGCAAGAUAUAUUUUUGUAGAAAACCUAUAUAGAAGUGGGAAGAUGCCUGAAGUGGACUACGUGGUUCUGGCAGAAUGGUUUGAUUGGAUCCUGAAGAACAUCGACGUGUCCGUUGAUUUGAUAGUUUAUCUCCGGACCGCUCCUGAGACCUGUUACCGGAGGUUACAGAUGAGAUGCAGGGAAGAGGAGACGGUCAUUCCCCUGGAAUACCUGGAUGCCAUUCACCACCUCUAUGAGGAGUGGCUCAUCAAAGGGAAUCAUUUCCCUGUAGCAGCCCCUGUUCUGUGGCUAGCAGGCAUGGAGCCUCAUUGCCCCUCUUCUCGGUGACCCAGGGCAUCUGAAGGAACACCACUUGCUGUCUGGGCUGUUACACAGUGACGCCCUUAGGAGGUGCUGAGGUGAUUGAGGCUGACCACGACAUGCGGAAAAUGCUAGAACUCUUCCAACAAAACCGGGACCGAAUAUUAACUCCAGAGAAUCAGAAACAUGGUUCAUAGGAUGGAAAGAUCAUGCCAGGAAAAUGCCCGCUGCUACCAGCUUAGCUAUUAGGAGCAAUUUGGAAAUAUCUCCUUUCGGGAGGGCUUUAUAUCUGGCCGCAUUUGUAUUCCUGACGGUCUUUUCUUCUUUACCAGUGUCUUCAGCCUGGGUCUCUGUUCCUUGUGGGUAGAUGACAAAUGGGACCAAUGGGUUUGUCAUGCCCUUUGGUGUUUGCAGGCUUGCACUCCCCCAGCCCUUCUCCUGGUGGCUUCCCACUGCUGGGUCCAUGUGAGUAAGGGAAGAGCCACCUGAAGUUAUGCUGGGCUUAGGGUCUCUAACCCUUCCCACUACUCAGGAGGGUGAGGUGGUGGCCUCUGAGAAGCUCAGGCUAAGGGGUCACACAUCCAGGGACAGUGGAGUUGGCACAAUUCAGACUUUUGGUGACUCCAGAACAUUCUGUGCCUCAUCCUGAGAGCCUGUCUUCCCUUGCUACAGACCUCACAGCUGUAUGGGGAGAGCCAGCAGUGCAUGGAGACAGUAUCAUCACUUUCUCAUUAUCCGAGUAGUUCUCGAAGGCCAUUGAUGAUCUUAGACUUUCACAAAAUUGUGCUGUAUUUGGCUUGAGCCUAAUGUUCAGUGGUUUCCCAGCAUGAGGCCGCUGUGCCAUUUGCCACCUCAGCAUCUGGGCUUCUGUGUCCUUGGGAGAAUCAUGCGUUGGCUCCUGAAUGGUGUUUGGUUUCCUUGGUGACAAAGGCCUUGCCUGAGCUGCCGCCAGUGCCAUGUCAGAGAAAGGGCUUUUGGUGUGUGGAUGGUUUGCCCAGUGCCAAGCUGGGGCAAGGGGCCAUCAGCCCUGGAUUCCGAGGCCGCCUCAGUCUAUAAUGGCCUUGUGUGAAGAGCUUUGCCUUUGGAAUUACUGAGAAGUUGUGGCCUGGGGAGGAGACACAAGUGGCCUUAUGUCUUUUUGAAAUGUUUUUCCACCCAAGGAGACACCCUGGGCCAGAGAGCAUGAAAUCAUCUUUAUUGGCUCAAAAUAUAUCUUAGCUUCACUGAGCUGUAACAAUGCAUCAAAGCCACAGCUGUCUCUUGAGUCAAGUGGGAAGUAAGAGAAAGAACAGUCUCUUAGGGGGCGAUCUGGACAGGAAGAUGAGAGCUUGCAAGCCAAGGCUCUUAGAGCACUCGUGCUCCUGAUAUUUUGGAGGCAGGCCGAGAGAGCUUCAAAAAGCCUGGCUGUAGAUGUGGGGCAGGGUCAGUUGUGACCUUUGGGGAAACAGGCCUCAGCCUCUCCUGAGCAGCGGUUGUUGUAAACAGGUUGGAAGGCCUCGUCCCAGCCUCUGCGUGAGUGUGGCUCCUGUGCACACUGUGGCUGACAGGCAUCCUGCUGGUCCAGUGGUCCAGUCCCAGAGGGAGUGCUAAGGGGUCAGGCACUGUGACUCCCGGACCAGUUCUUGGGCCACAUGGUCAGGAUGAGGGGCAGCAACCCAGUGGGGAUGUGUCUCUCAGCCCAAAUGUCAGUGGUUGACCAGAAGCCUGGGGGAGGCAAGAGCCUGUACUGCCAGGUGUCUUGACAAGCCGGGGAAGUCUUUGGAAAUUUGUAAAUGAACAGUCCAGUAUCCCCACAGCUCACUUUAAGCAUCUGUUUUGGGGGAAAUAUGAUUUAAAAAUAGUAAAGUAUUGCCCUGUGGUAGCCAAUAAAUCCUUCACCUAAAACCUGUUGUUAAUUUUGGAGUGCUUCCUAGGCCAGUGAUUUUAGCUCCCUCCAGCAUCCUUUGCCAGUAGCAUAAAGUGUUUCAUUUUGUAAACUCCAUCUUUCCUAACAUGGGAUGGAUGGGCUCGAAGGAGCUCACCAUCCUCUUGCUCUGGCCCUGCAGAGGAUGCUGUGUAUCUGCAGAGGCCAGAGCAGGUGGCAAAAUCUGUCAGCCCAGAUAGUCACACGAAACACCUGGUGCCCAGCUUGCAUGGAUGAGGGUUGCUUUCCCCACGUGGCAGGCAGGGCUGGUGGCUUCAGGGGUCAUGGAGCAGUUACAAAAGCCAGGGCAGAAGAAGGGCAGAUGGCACAUGGGAGGCGGGGGGGCCUAGUGUUAGCGCAGAAGGAGGUGAUCCCCAGAGGCUCAGGAAUGGCUGGGAGGAGCCUUGCAGGGGCUUGCAUCUCUGACCUGUUGACCUAGCAAGCCAGAGCAGUGACAUUCCAGAUUUGCCAGGGUUGCCCCAUUCUUACUUUGAGGUGGGGUUCCGCAGGGCAUAACGUGAGCAUACCCCAGAGCUGCCUCGGCUCUUUGACUCUUAGCAAUUAAAUUUUUUGAACAGCAUAUACAUUGUUUUAGUCAGCAUUUUUAGUGAAAUAGUUCUAAUUUACACUUCAGGUUUUUAAUUUUAUAUGCAAAAUACAUGAUUAGAAUCAUUCAGAAAUAUCUCAUGUACCUGACGAUUAAAAAACGAAAUGAGAUAGGAGUGUAUUUCUGUGUCACAUAGAAGCGU